UACGUAGGGUGCGAGCGUUGUCCGGAAUUAUUGGGCGUAAAGAGCUCGUAGGCGGUUUGUUGCGUCGGCUGUGAAAUCCCGAGGCUCAACCUCGGGUCUGCAGUCGAUACGAGCAAACUAGAGUGUUGCAGGGGAGACUGGAAUUCCUGGUGUAGCGGUGAAAUGCGCAGAUAUCAGGAGGAACACCGAUGGCGAAGGCAGGUCUCUGGGCCUUACCUGACGCUGAGGAGCGAAAGCGUGGGGAGCAAACAGG
rnacentral:rRNA from 1 species